rnacentral:rRNA from 2 species
CUAAACGGCCACGGCACUAAAACCGUGCAAAGGUAGCACAAUCACUUGCCCCUUAAAUGGGGGCCCGUAUGAAAGGCAACAUGAGAGAAGACCUGUCUCCUAGGGCCAGCCAAUGAAAUUGAACUACCAGUACAAAAGCUGGCAUAGACAAGCAAGACAAAAAGACCCUGUGGAACUUUAACAAAUUGUUUAAACAAAUUGAACAAUAGUUUCAGUUGGGAAAACUUUAGAAAAAAUAAACUUCUUAAAUGCCGCAGACCAACAAGCCUAUACCACCAAACCAUCGACCCAGUUUUACUGAUUAACGAAACAAGCUACCCCAGGGAUAACAGCGCUACCUUCUCAAAGAGUCCUUAUCGACAAGAAGAUCUACGACCUCGAUGUUGGAUCAGGGUAUCCAGACGGUGCAGCAGCUGUCAAAGGUUCGUUUGUUCAACGACUAAGACCC